CCUACGGGGGGCAGCAGUGGGGAAUAUUGGGCAAUGGGCGCAAGCCUGACCCAGCAACGCCGCGUGAAGGAAGAAGGCUUUCGGGUUGUAAACUUCUUUUAAGGGGGAAGAGCAGAAGACGGUACCCCUUGAAUAAGCCACGGCUAACUACGUGCCAGGAGCCGCGGUAAUACGUAGGUGGCAAGCGUUGUCCGGAUUUACUGGGUGUAAAGGGCGUGAAGCCGGAGAGACAAGUCAGAUGGGAAAUCCACGGGCUCAACCCGUGAACUGCAUUUGAAACUGUUUCCCUUGAGUGUCGGAGAGGUAAGCGGAAUUCCUUGUGUAGCGGUGAAAUGCGUAGAUAUAAGGAAGAACACCAGUGGCGAAGGCGGAUUACUGGACGAUAACUGACGGUGAGGCGCGAAAGCGUGGGGAGCAAACAGGAUUAGAUACCCGAGUAGUC
rnacentral:rRNA from 1 species